rnacentral:rRNA from 1 species
UCGGGAAUCUUGGACAAUGGGCGCAAGCCUGAUCCAGCCAUGCCGCGUGAGUGAAGAAGGCCUUCGGGUUGUAAAGCUCUUUUACCAGGGACGAUAAUGACGGUACCUGGAGAAUAAGCCCCGGCAAACUUCGUGCCAGCAGCCGCGGUAAUACGAAGGGGGCUAGCGUUGUUCGGAAUUACUGGGCGUAAAGCGCACGUAGGCGGAUUGUUAAGUCAGAGGUGAAAUCCCGGAGCUCAACUUCGGAACUGCCUUUGAUACUGGCAAUCUAGAGUCCGGAAGAGGUUAGUGGAAUUCCCAGUGUAGAGGUGAAAUUCGUAGAUAUUGGGAAGAACACCAGUGGCGAAGGCGGCUAACUGGUCCGGUACUGACGCUGAGGUGCGAAAGCGUGGGGAGCAAACAGGAUUAGAUACCCGUGUAGUCCCUGAGCGGGCUGGCAAGGCGCAU